rnacentral:rRNA from 1 species
UGCAAGUCGAGCGAAGAAUUUAUCAUGAAGCCUUCGGGCAGAUUGAUAAACUUCUUAGCGGCGGAUGGGUGAGUAACGCGUGAGGAACCUGCCUUCUACAAGGGGAUAGCCUCGGGAAACCGGGAUUAAUACCCUAUGACACUAAUUCUCUGCAUGGAGAAUUAGUUAAAGCGUUAGCGGUAGAAGAUGGCCUCGCGUCCCAUUAGCUAGUUGGUGAGGUAACAGCUCACCAAGGCAACGAUGGGUAGCCGGCUUGAGAGAGUGACCGGCCACACUGGAACUGAGACACGGUCCAGACUCCUACGGGAGGCAGCAGUGGGGAAUAUUGCACAAUGGAGGGAACUCUGAUGUAGCGACGCCGCGUGAGUGAUGAAGGCCUUCGGGUCGUAAAGCUCUGUCCUAUGGGACGAUAAUGACGGUACCAUAGGAGGAAGCCCCGGCUAACUACGUGCCAGCAGCCGCGGUAAUACGUAGGGGGCGAGCGUUGUCCGGAAUUACUGGGCGUAAAGGGUACGCAGGCGGCCAUGUAAGUCAGAUGUGAAAGGCGUAGGCUUAACCUAUGUAAGCAUUUGAAACUGCUUGGCUUGAGUUAAGGAGAGGAAAGUGGAAUUCCUGGUGUAGCGGUGAAAUGCGUAGAUAUCAGGAGGAAUACCAGUGGCGAAGGCGACUUUCUGGACUUAAACUGACGCUGAGGUACGAAAGCGUGGGGAGCAAACAGGAUUAGAUACCCUGGUAGUCCACGCCGUAAACGAUGAGUGCUAGGUGUCGGGAGGGAACUUU